rnacentral:rRNA from 1 species
AUUGAACGCUGGCGGCAUGCCUUACACAUGCAAGUCGAACGGCAGCACGGGAGCAAUCCUGGUGGCGAGUGGCGAACGGGUGAGUAAUAUAUCGGAACGUGCCCAGUCGUGGGGGAUAACGUAGCGAAAGCUACGCUAAUACCGCAUACGAUCUAUGGAUGAAAGCGGGGGAUCGCAAGACCUCGCGCGACUGGAGCGGCCGAUAUCAGAUUAGGUAGUUGGUGGGGUAAAGGCUCACCAAGCCGACGAUCUGUAGCUGGUCUGAGAGGACGACCAGCCACACUGGGACGGAGACACGGCCCAGACUCCUACGGGAGGCAGCAGUGGGGAAUUUUGGACAAUGGGCGCAAGCCUGAUCCAGCAAUGCCGCGUGCAGGAUGAAGGCCUUCGGGUUGUAAACUGCUUUUGUACGGAGCGAAAAGGCUUCCACUAAUACUGGGGGCUCAUGACGGUACCGUAAGAAUAAGCACCGGCUAACUACGUGCCAGCCGCCGCCGUAACAC